rnacentral:lncRNA from 1 species
UGGCUUUAAUAGUGCUAUAAUAAUUUUGCCAUUCUGCACAUUUGUGUUUAUUAAUCAAGGAGUGUAACAUAGCCACUUUGCUACACUUCUAACUUUGGAUUUGCUAUAAGGUUACUUUUGUAAGUGCUGCUUUGUGAUGACUUAGCAUAGUGAAUUUGAAAUUAUCUCUUACUAUGCAAUUCCUGAUCGAUUUUUGUGUUCUACGCUAUUUACCGAAGCCUCCUCAGAUGAAUUGUCUGGAUGAAAUUCAACCUUAUUGUGAAGAGCAAGCAAAAGAUGAUCUAUCCAUGGUAGAAACUGAACGUAAUGAAGGGAAAGAUAAUAAUGAAAAUAAUGCUGAUGAUGGUCAAAAAUGGUGCGAAGGGACAGAUAAUAAUGAAAAUAAUGCUGAUGAGGGCCAAAAAUGGUGGGAUAGUGAAUCACAAAAUCUGUUGGAUUCACAACAAUUGGUUGACGCAUUGUCCUUGUGUGAUGAUUUACUUCGUAGCCAGUCUCCCACUAGAGACGGUAAAGAUGAAG